rnacentral:rRNA from 1 species
GAUGAACGCUGGCGGCGUGCCUAAUACAUGCAAGUCGAGCGAACAGACGAGGAGCUUGCUCCUCUGACGUUAGCGGCGGACGGGUGAGUAACACGUGGAUAACCUACCUAUAAGACUGGGAUAACUUCGGGAAACCGGAGCUAAUACCGGAUAAUAUAUUGAACCGCAUGGUUCAAUAGUGAAAGACGGUUUUGCUGUCACUUAUAGAUGGAUCCGCGCCGCAUUAGCUAGUUGGUAAGGUAACGGCUUACCGAGGCAACGAUGCGUAGCCGACCUGAGAGGGUGCUCGGCCACACUGGAACUGAGACACGGUCCAGACUCCUACGGGAGGCAGCAGUAGGGAAUCUUCCGCAAUGGGCGAAAGCUUGACGGAGCAACGCCGCGUGAGUGAUGAAGGUCUUCGGAUCGUAAAACUCUGUUAUUAGGGAAGAACAAAUGUGUAAGUAACUAUGCACGUCUUGACGGUACCUAAUCAGAAAGCCACGGCUAACUACGUG